UGUUUCGGCUAGGGGGCCAUCCCGGCUUACCAACCCGAUGCAAACUGCGAAUACCGGAGAAUGUUAUCACGGGAGACACACGGCGGGUGCUAACGUCCGUCGUGAAGAGGGAAACAACCCAGACCGCCAGCUAAGGUCCCAAAGUCAUGGUUAAGUGGGAAACGAUGUGGGAAGGCCCAGACAGCCAGGAUGUUGGCUUAGAAGCAGCCAUCAUUUAAAGAAAGCGUAAUAGCUCACUGGUCGAGUCGGCCUGCGCGGAAGAUGUAACGGGGCUAAACCAUGCACCGAAGCUGCGGCAGCGAACGUAUCACUUAAAGCGAUUCAGCGGGUUACGAUUGACGGAGCGAAGCGACGUCAAAGCGUAUACAAAGUCGAGUCGGUUUA
rnacentral:rRNA from 2 species